GUAGGUGGCAAGCAUUGUCCGGAAUUAUUGGGCGUAAAGCGCGCGCAGGGCGGUCCUUUAAGUCUGAUGUGAAAGCCCGCGGCUCAACCGUGGAGGGUCAUUGGAAACUGGGGGACUUGAGUACAGAAGAGGAAAGCGGAAUUCCAAGUGUAGCGGUGAAAUGCGUAGAGAUUUGGAGGAACACCAGUGGCGAAGGCGGCUUUCUGGUCUGUAACUGACGCUGAGGCGCGAAAGCGUGGGGAGCAAACAGGAUUAGAUACCCUGGUAGUCCACGCCGUAAACGAUGAGUGCUAAGUGUUAGGGGGUUUCCGCCCCUUAGUGCUGCAGCUAACGCAUUAAGCACUCCGCCUGGGGAGUACGGCCGCAAGGCUG
rnacentral:rRNA from 1 species